GCGAUAAGGGUAGUGGACACAGGAACCUCGUUGCCAGUGUAUGGGAGAAGAGCACGAGGUGCUGUACCCGAUGAUGAGCCCAUGAUUCUGACCAGUACAUGUUCCGUUUCAUGCAGGCAGAUAAAGUCAGCAUUCAUCUCAUCCUGUCUCCUGAUUGUCAUUGAACACAACGCAGACACAAACUAUACGACGAAU